UACGUAGGUGUCAAGCGUUGUCCGGAUUUAUUGGGCGUAAAGCGCCCGCAGGCGGCUUGCCAAGUUCGAUGUGAAAUCUCCCGGCUCAACUGGGAGGGUGCAUCGAAAACUGGCAGGCUUGAGGCAGGGAGAGGGAUGUGGAAUUCCAGGUGUAGUGGUGAAAUGCGUAGAUAUCUGGAGGAACACCGGUGGCGAAGGCGGCAUCCUGGACCGGUAUUGACGCUGAGGAGCGAAAGCCAGGGGAGCAAACGGG
rnacentral:rRNA from 1 species